AACAUCAUCACUAGAUGGCGCUAUAUUACAAGAGUAUACACCAGAGCACAAACACGAAGAUCUUUUGAAAUUUAGGUCAUAUUUUUCUGACUUUUUUUGACUAAGAAGAAAGCAAAGUGGAUCUAACUAGCACACGGGGAAAAUCUGAAAGGCCCAGAGGCACAACUACAAGACAAGAGGACAUGAGAAACUGCAGACUGAGAAACUGAUGUCUUUCAGGUUCAGUGAGCUGCUACCGUUAUGGCCUGAUGUAUUGGUUUGAAUGGCUGGAGCUCAUGCAGAUCCGGAUGUGCUUCUGGUCGGCUCUGAUCUCCACUGCUCCCGCUAGGCCUCUUUUACAGCAACAGGAAAUGCUGCCUGCUAUGGGGUCACGACCCACUCAUUUUGACAUAUGCGUCAAGUGCAGCCCACCCGACCGGCAUACGAGGUUUCCGGUUCGUGCAAGGUGUGGACUGAUAGUUUGGGAAGGAAACGGAGGGCAGACGGAGCUGAGACAGCGAGGCAGAAUAGGAGAUGGAAAAGGUCCUUAAUCCCCAUACUGAACACCUUUGGGAGGAACAGCGAGGCAGAUCCCAUGACCAGG